CCUAUGAGCUUUUUGACUAUUUUUCAGCAAAUCAGAAUUCCCUCCCCCAAAUUACAAUUCCCUCUCCCUUCCCAUAAAUUAGACGGACUCUCUCUCUCUCUCUCUCUCUCUCUCUCUCUCUCUCUCUCUCUUCUCCUUCUCUCACGAUUUGGCGAAACCCUAGGUUUCAAGCUCCUCCUCACCUCAUCUUACGGUUGGAGAAAACAUAGAUUUGCCGCAGAUUGCAAAUAGGUUAUAUGAAGAUUACUGACUGUUAUAGGAAAGGCAUUGGCAAGCCUAAGGAAGUUUAUUGCUAAUUUAAUUCACAGAGAACAGAGGACCAGGAGCUUUGCAAGAGGACUCAAUUGGUUCGAUGAAAACAAGCUAUUCGUCGUCUGGUGGUGUUAUGAGUUUGGCUAGAAGGACUAAUAUGAAGUUAGACACCGGAAAAAGAUAUUGAUCGAGGCGAAUAUUGGAUUGGAACUCAUAAGCGGCUAGAUGAGAGUUAUAUGAAUGAAGAGGCUAGAGAAAUUGUGCUAAAUAGAGAAAUAUGAAGGAUACAAAAUACGUCGGUCAUGUUCGAGGUUAGACUUGGGUGCAGUUUUGACUCUAGUGUUCGAGCAAAGUUCUAUACGACUUGGUCUUAGGAGAUAUCCCCGAGUAGUUAGCUGGCUUAUUUCCUACUCCUCCACAGAUUGUUGAGUAGCUGAGCUUCAUCUUCAUUUCAGCCUUAUUUGGUACUGUUGCUGCUAUCUUCAGUUUAGGCAUCAAAUUUAUGAAGUGGCACUCCGUCAUCAAUUGGGUCAAAAAUAUCUAUAGACAAGUAACAAUACCGAUUAAGCAUGUAAAAAUUAGUAAUUAUGUUUAGGAUUAGGUAUGAAUCUCUUGGAUAUUGUUGUAUUGAUUUACUCUUUGAAAUAAAAAUACAUUGGAUAAUGUAAUUUUGGAGUAACUAUAUUUUAUUUGUUUAA